CGCCGGAAGGCUGCAGCUCCUGCGGGUGCGCGCCCGGACUGCUGAACAGCCGGGGGCCAGUCAGGGCGGGUUCACCUCCUAGCAGAUUACUGGAAGGCAAAUGCAAAAUAUCACUAGCUGGCUAGCCUGAGGGCAAGGCUGCAUCCCAUCCCGUGUUGUCCGGCCUGGCACAGAACAUAGGUGCUGCGUGUAUGUCUGCUGGACCACUGACCUGAGG